CGUACAAGGCCCCAAAAUUGGAACGCUCGGCGGGAGAUUCGUUGACUGGGAAAUAGACUCAUUUUUUCCAGCCGUGCAAACGGCGUUGUCGUAAUUAGUUGGAGCGGAUAUUUUGACAUCCUUCCUCUGUGGAUCCUCUGUCCGCUCAUCUUGCAUAUUUUCAAAAAACAUGUUGGCAUUUGUUUUGUUGUAUAAAGCUAUGAAGUAAAAUAAAAAGUUCACUUAUAAUAAUUAGUUAAAAUAUAAAUAUUUUUAAAUGAAGUCUAUUUUUUAUUGUUAAAUUUAUUUUUUGUAAACUAUUUUGCUUCCAGAAGAUUUUUGCUUCAUGUCAUUAAACUAAACCAUGAGCAGGGUGGCAAAAAGGAAGGAGCCUCGUCUCCUUUGGCAGCGGAGCGAAAAAGUGACCGGAUUAUUCCAGCGCCACUGGUGGCGCUAGUGCUCUAUCUCUCAGUUUGCUUGACCGACCCUCAAUAUUCGACUGGGGUGGAUGCCGGCAGUUAGAUGGUUUGGUACCAAAACGAUUUGAUACAAAAAAUUUGUUGGAACUUGAUAAUCCCACGCGGUCAUCACGAUGAUUAACAGAGAACAGAGAAAACUAGAAGGAAUGAAACUCUGCGCUUUAUUUUCAGCAAAGAAAGUUUUGAACAUGCCAGAAAAAAGAUAAAAAAGGCUGAGGGCGCUAGUGAUGUGGAGAAGGUCUACUUCUCCACUACAGAUUCGGAGCAGUGUGGCAGGGGAAAGAGGAAAAGGUGGGCCAGAACUCAC